AUAGAGUUUGAUCCUGGCUCAGAUUGAACGCUGGCGGCAGGCCUAACACAUGCAAGUCGAGCGGAAACGAGUUAUCUGAACCUUCGGGGAACGAUAACGGCGUCGAGCGGCGGACGGGUGAGUAAUGCCUAGGAAAUUGCCUUGAUGUGGGGGAUAACCAUUGGAAACGAUGGCUAAUACCGCAUAAUGCCUACGGGCCAAAGAGGGGGACCUUCGGGCCUCUCGCGUCAAGAUAUGCCUAGGUGGGAUUAGCUAGUUGGUGAGGUAAUGGCUCACCAAGGCGACGAUCCCUAGCUGGUCUGAGAGGAUGAUCAGCCACACUGGAACUGAGACACGGUCCAGACUCCUACGGGAGGCAGCAGUGGGGAAUAUUGCACAAUGGGCGCAAGCCUGAUGCAGCCAUGCCGCGUGUAUGAAGAAGGCCUUCGGGUUGUAAAGUACUUUCAGCAGUGAGGAAGGGGGUGUCGU
rnacentral:rRNA from 1 species